UUUAUGGAGAGUUUGAUCCUGGCUCAGGAUGAACGCUGGCGGCGUGCCUAAUACAUGCAAGUCGAGCGAACAGACGAGGAGCUUGCUCCUUUGACGUUAGCGGCGGACGGGUGA
rnacentral:rRNA from 1 species